ACGAACGCUGGCGGCAGGCUUAACACAUGCAAGUCGAGCGAGACCUUCGGGUCUAGCGGCGGACGGGUGAGUAACGCGUGGGAACGUGCCCUUCUCUACGGAAUAGCCCCGGGAAACUGGGAGUAAUACCGUAUACGCCCUUUGGGGGAAAGAUUUAUCGGAGAAGGAUCGGCCCGCGUUGGAUUAGGUAGUUGGUGGGGUAAUGGCCCACCAAGCCGACGAUCCAUAGCUGGUUUGAGAGGAUGAUCAGCCACACUGGGACUGAGACACGGCCCAGACUCCUAGGGGGGGAAGGGGGGGGGAAUUUAAAAAAAGGGGGGCAACCCUGAUCUACCCCUGCCGGGGGGGUGAUAAAGGCCUUAGGGUUUAAAAGCCUUUUCAGCUGGGAAGAAAAUGGCGGUACCAAAAAAAGAAGCCCCGGCUAACCCCGU
rnacentral:rRNA from 1 species